rnacentral:rRNA from 1 species
UACGUAGGGUGCGAGCGUUUGUCCGGAAUUACUGGGCGUAAAGAGCUCGUAGGUGGUUUUGUCGCGUUGUCCGUGAAAAACUCACAAACUCAAUUGUGGGCGUGCGGGCGUACGGGGUAGACUGGAGUACUGCAGGGGGAGACUGGAAUUCCUGGGUGUAGCGGUGGAAUGCGCAGGAUAUCAGGAGGAACACCGGUGGCGAAAGGGCGGGGUCUCUGGGGCAGUAACUGACGUGAGGAGCGAAAAGCGUGGGGGAGCAACAGG